rnacentral:rRNA from 1 species
GACGAAACGCUGGCGGCGUGCUUAAUACAUGCAAGUCGAGCGAGGUUACUGUUUCGGAUCCCUUCGGGGUGAAGAAGCUUUAACCUAGCGGCGGACGGGUGAGUAACGCGUGGGUAACCUACCCCAAAGUCCGGGAUAACAGCGGGAAACCGCUGCUAAUACCGGAUGCCUUUACCUUGGGGCAUCUUGAGGUAAAGAAAGGUAACGCUUUGGGAUGGGCCCGCGUCCCAUUAGCUAGUUGGUGAGGUAACGGCUCACCAAAGGCGACGAUGGGUAGCCGGCCUGAGAGGGUGGACGGCCACACUGGGACUGAGACACGGCCCAGACUCCUACGGGAGGCAGCAGUAGGGAAUAUUGCGCAAUGGACGGAAGUCUGACGCAGCGACGCCGCGUGAGCGAUGAAGGUCUUCGGAUCGUAAAAGCUCUGUCCUUGGGGAAGAAGGUCUUCGGACUUGACGGUACCCAAAGAAGAAAGCCCCGGUAACUACGUGCCAGCAGCCGCGGUAAGGCUACGUAGA